GAUGAACGCUGGCGGCGUGCCUAAUACAUGCAAGUCGAGCGAACAGAUGAGGAGCUUGCUCCGCUGACGUUAGCGGCGGACGGGUGAGUAACACGUGGAUAACCUACCUAUAAGACUGAGAUAACUUCGGGAAACCGGAGCUAAUACCGGAUAAUAUAUUGAACCGCAUGGUUCAAUGGUGAGAGACGGUGUUGCUGUCACUUAUAGAUGGAUCCGCGCCGCAUUAGCUAGUUGGUAAGGUCAAGGCUUACCAAGGCAACCAGGCGUGGCCGACCUGAGAGGGUGAUCGGCGACCCUGGAACGGAGACACGGUCCAGACUCCUACGGGAGGCAGCAGUAGGGAAUCUUCCGCAAUGGGCGAAAGCCUGACGGAGCAACGCCGCGUGAGUGAUGAAGGUGUUCGGAUCGUAAAACCCUGUUAUUAGGGAAGAACAAAUGUGUAAGUAACUAUGCACGUCUUGACGGUACCUAAUCAGAAAGCCCCGGCUAACUACGUG
rnacentral:rRNA from 1 species